rnacentral:rRNA from 2 species
AGUUAGUUGGUGAGGUAAUGGCUUACCAAGGCGAUGACGUGAAGGUGAAGGAUGAAAGUCUCAACACCCGCAGUGGAGAAUGAAAAGUCCCACACCCUAAUUUGAGGGGCAGCAGUGGAGGAUCAUCGUCAAUGGUCGUAAGACUGAACGUGCAAACCAGAAUCAAUAUGAGCUUAGGUUCAAUUGAUGUAGUAAGGCAGGAUAAUGACUAGUCUUACUAAUAGUCGUGACCAAUCCCGGUGCCAGCAGUUGCGGUUACACCGGUACGGCAAGCAUUGUUCGUUGUGAAUAGGCGUAAAGGGUACGUAGGUUGUUCUUUGCUACUAAUGUAAGUAGAGAACUUGAAUCCAAUAGGAGUUACCAGAAUUUCGAGAGUAGCGCUGAUAUGCUUUGAUACUUGAAGGACUACCAAUGGCGAAAGCAGGUAACUAGUUAGAGAUUGACACUGAGGUACGAAAGCGUAGGGAGCAAACAGAAUU